GGCGCGAGUGUUCCGGGCCCUAAGAGAGGCUUCGCAGGGUUGGCCAGAGGUGCGGUCCUCGCGUUCCCCUCGUCGACCGCCAUUUCACAUUUUGUAGAGGAGGAGGGGGGAGCCUCAGAGAGGAAUUUUUUUUUUCACAAGUCUGUCUACAGCUGUGAAAUUGGAUAUGCCUGAUGACAUGCUCUUCAGCUGGUCAGGAAAAAAACAUUUUCUCCAGGGCUGGCCAAGCGUGCUGUAUAAUCUCCUGCCUGCGUCUGGGAGCCUGCAGCUGAGCGGCAGGACAAAGUGAUGUGGAAAGGGAGCCGACUAAUGAGGACCAAAUUCAGCUCUCUCCUGGCCUGCAGUUCAUUUCCAUUGCUCACCCUUCAGAUGUUGGAAACCCUUUCUAAAUAUAAAGGUUACUUGAAGGCUGGGGAUACAGCUCAGCGGCACAGCGCCUGCCCGGCAAGUGUGGUCCUGAGCUCCAUUCCAGAUAUCAAAAAGACAUUUGAACAACGACAGUAGCAACACUGUCUUUUUCACGCGUCUCCACGUCACAUCACAGGGUAUUAGAACUGUAGGGGUCUAAAAGGGAAUCUCAUCCAAACCCUCAUCUCCAGGCAGCUGAGGGGAGCUGCUUGUCAUGAGCCUGUGGUUGCUCUAGGUCCCAGAGCUGGUGACAGCACGGCCAGCCCUGGACAGUUAGCUGGACUCCACCGGCAGCUCUCUCGGACACACUCAGCUCUCUCCUUGAGCAGCAGCUUCUCACGGAAGCAGAGAGACACUUGGAAGUAUGUUUACUGACUACGACAAAAAGACGCUUCUUGUAACUGUCUUUCUCCUAACUGUAGGACACAUCAAAUUCCAGUCAGACAACACGUGUAACAAAUCAAAACGUUAAGGGAUGCCCACCUGCUUUAGGAAUCCUUGGAAUGAUGAAAGAGCUGCCCAGCCUGUGGAGGGAGGAGGCAUCUUUAGAGGUUUUGAAUGUUUCUGUCCUUGGGAAAUCACUGCACAAUGGCUAAAUCCACCAGGUGACUCUUUACCAUCUGGUGUGGGGGACAGAUAUGUCAGAGAACUCCUAGGGGACCUUUUGAGAUUUAAACAAAUAAACAAAAAAAUUCAAAUGUAAAAUGCUCUCUUUUUAAUUACUAAAUUAAGAAAGUUAAACAAUUUAAAAAUGUAAACUCACAAAUAAAGCAUAACAAAAAAGGAGUUAAGACCUCAGGGUUGGUUUUAGUUGCUAUUAAAACUCAAUAGAAAUCGAAUUUUUGAUUUGUUGUUAAACAUGUAAUUCAAGGUUGGUACAAACAGCAACUAAAAAUGUAAUACUUUUUUUUUUUUUUUUUUUUUUG